GGAUUAGAUACCCUGGUAGUCCACGCAGUAAACGAUGAAUACUAACUGUUGGCGAUAUACAGUCAGUGGUAAAGCGAAAGCGUUAAGUAUUCCACCUGGGGAGUACGCCGGCAACGGUGAAACUCAAAGGAAUUGACGGGGGCCCGCACAAGCGGAGGAACAUGUGGUUUAAUUCGAUGAUACGCGAGGAACCUUACCCGGGCUUGAACGUAGGGAGACAGUUUUCGAAAGAAGAUCUCUAGCAAUAGCUGCCUACGAGGUGCUGCAUGGUUGUCGUCAGCUCGUGCUG
rnacentral:rRNA from 1 species